rnacentral:rRNA from 1 species
GACGAACGCUGGCGGCGUGCUUAACACAUGCAAGUCGAACGGAAAGGCCCUGCUUGCAGGGUACUCGAGUGGCGAACGGGUGAGUAACACGUGGGUGAUCUGCCCUGCACUUCGGGAUAAGCCUGGGAAACUGGGUCUAAUACCGGAUAGGAGCCAUUUUUAGUGUGAUGGUUGGAAAGUUUUUUCGGUGUAGGAUGAGCUCGCGGCCUAUCAGCUUGUUGGUGGGGUAAUGGCCUACCAAGGCGGCGACGGGUAGCCGGCCUGAGAGGGUGGACGGCCACAUUGGGACUGAGAUACGGCACAGACUCCUACGGGAGGCAGCAGUGGGGAAUAUUGCACAAUGGGCGCCAGCCUGAUGCAGCGACGCCGCGUGGGGGAUGACGGCCUUCGGGUUGUAAACUCCUUUCGCUAGGGACGAAGCUUUUUGUGACGGUACCUAGAUAAGAAGCACCGGCUAACUACGUG